rnacentral:other from 1 species
GACUCCCUGCUUUGUGCGUGAUGGUUCGGAGAGUCGCUUGAGCCGAUGUUCGUCCCUAAGUGAGCUGCGACGCCGCGUGGUGUGCACGCCUCCGUGGUGAGGAAGCCUGAAGCGCGGCUUGACCCAGCGGCUCCACCUGCACCCGCAGGUUCAGCGGCCUCCCCACACGGCAAAGCGGGGGGUUU